rnacentral:misc_RNA from 1 species
UUUAUUUAUUUUAAUAAUAAUUAACAUACUUUAUACUAAAUGUUGGUAAUAAAGGAAAGAGAGCUCUUCCUCCCCCGGUUUAAUAAAAAACCAGGAAGUUUUCUACCCUCCUCCCCCAAAAAAAAAAAUGCACAGAGUUAGAAGGGUGGAGACGGAUUUCAAUAAAGAACAUCCAAAUUCACUAAUGAUCCUUCCGCAGGUUCACCUACGGAAA